rnacentral:rRNA from 1 species
UACGAACCGUACAAACGUUAUUCGGAAUCACUGGCUUAAAGGGUGCGUAGGCGGCCAUGUAAGUGAGGUGUGAAAUCCCUCGGCUCAACCCGAGGAACUGCGCUUCAUACUGCAUGGCUUGAGGGAGACAGGGGUAAGCGGAACUGAUGGUGGAGCGGUGAAAUGCGUUGAUAUCAUUCAGGAACACCGGUGGCGAAAGGCGGCUACUGGGUCUCUUCUGACGCUGAGGUACGAAAGCUAGGGUAAGCGAACGGGGGA